rnacentral:lncRNA from 1 species
CGUCUAUUCCGGAAAACCGUAUUUAAAAGCAGGAUUGACGACCAAAGAAAAAUGAGAAAGUAACAUUUUAAUGUGGAGCUUAGUAAUCGCCUAGAAUGAAUGGCGAUAUACAGUUUACUGCACCCUCCAAUGCGCAAAAGAGGCAGGAUGGCAAAAUUCAUGACUAUCUUAAGCAAGCCAGGAGACUGCUAAAAAGUGUGGGCCUCAUUCUAAGUCUGACUUCCCUAAUGCUCAGAAGAUGGCUAUGUUGAGUCCACAAACUUUUGAAUUCAGAAACAAGAUUGAGUUGAUUUCAGAAGCUCUCCCAGAAGAUCAAGAAAGAACUUUCCAGGAUCUCCAGGAACCUGAAUUGAGUCAUACGCCAAAGUGAGUUUCAUGCUCUUUGGCAAAACAAUCAUUGGCAGGAUAGAUGAAAGUAGCUUAGAAGUGACCAAUAUGUCAAGGUCCCAUGAGAAGACUGAAAAAAAGAGAAGAAAGAGGAAAGAAAAGAAUGACAAGAAAGAGAAAGAAAGAAACCAAUAUGCUCUUUGUUCUUUGCUUUUGCUUCCUCAAGCUUUUCUCUGUCUACAAAGCCAACCUCUCCUGCUCAGCUCAUCAGAACAUUCACUCCACUUUCUGGAAUGAAGUGUUGCCUGAUCCUAGAGUCGCAAUAAAGCC